UACGUAGGGUGCAAGCGUUAAUCGGAAUUACUGGGCGUAAAGCGUGCGUAGGUGGUGAGUUAAGUCUGUCGUGAAAGCCCCGGGCUCAACCUGGGAAUGGCGAUGGAUACUGGCUCGCUAGAGUGCGGUAGAGGAGAGUGGAAUUCCCGGUGUAGCAGUGAAAUGCGUAGAGAUCGGGAGGAACAUCAGUUGCGAAGGCGGCUCUCUGGACCAGUACUGACGCUGAGGCACGAAAGCGUGGGGAGCAAACAGG
rnacentral:rRNA from 1 species